rnacentral:rRNA from 1 species
UACGUAGGGGGCUAGCGUUGUCCGGAUUUAUUGGGCGUAAAGAGCGUGUAGGCGGCCAUGUAGGUCCGGUGUGAAAACUCGAGGCUUAACCUCGAGAUGUCAUCGGAAACCAUUUGGCUAGAGUCCGGAAGAGGAGAGUGGAAGUUCCUGGUGUAGCGGUGAAAUGCGCAGAUAUCAGGAAGAACACCCGUGGCGAAGGCGGCGCUCUGGGCCGGUACUGACACUGAGGAGCGAAAGCGUGGGUAGCAAACAGG